UGAGGAAUAUUGGUCAAUGGACGCAAGUCUGAACCAGCCAUGCCGCGUGCAGGAAGACGGCUCUAUGAGUUGUAAACUGCUUUUGUACGAGGGUAAACGCAGAUACGUGUAUCUGUCUGAAAGUAUCGUACGAAUAAGGAUCGGCUAACUCCGUGCCAGCAGCCGCGGUAAUACGGAGGAUUCAAGCGUUAUCCGGAGUUAUUGGGUUUAAAGGGUGCGUAGGCGGUUGGAUAAGUUAGAGGUGAAAUCCCGGGGCUCAACUCCGGAAUUGCCUCUGAUACUGUUCGGCUAGAGAUCAGUUGCGGUAGGCGGAAUGUAUGGUGUAGCGGUGAAAUGCUUAGAGAUCAUACAGAACACCGAUUGCGAAGGCAGCUUACCAAGCUGAAUCUGACGUUGAGGCACGAAAGCGUGGGUAGCAAACAGG
rnacentral:rRNA from 1 species